rnacentral:misc_RNA from 1 species
UAUGGUCUGAAAAGAUUAUGGCUGCGACUCCGAAGAUAAGAUUCGGAAUCGGCGCCGUCAACCCGGACCGUCUCGCCAUGACCUCCACCGCUCUCUCUCUACCUCCUCACUCUCUCAUCUUCCUCAGAAACGGCACCGUCCCUUCUCUCCGACGCUCUCCCCGUCUCAACUCGUUCGCUCCAACUCAUUCAACUCCUCUUCGAGUCAAAGCUUCCUCCGCG